rnacentral:rRNA from 1 species
CGUAGGUGGUUUGUUAAGCGAGAUGUGAAAGCCCCGGGCUUAACCUGGGAACGGCAUUUCGAACUGGCAGACUAGAGUGUGGUAGAGGGUAGUGGAAUUUCCUGUGUAGCGGUGAAAUGCGUAGAUAUAGGAAGGAACACCAGUGGCGAAGGCGGCUACCUGGACCAACACUGACACUGAGGUGCGAAAGCGUGGGGAGCGAACA